UACGGGGGGAGCAAGCGUUGUUCGGAUUUACUGGGCGUAAAGGGCGCGUAGGCGGCGUAACAAGUCACUUGUGAAAUCUCCGGGCUUAACCCGGAGCGGCCAAGUGAUACUGUUGUGCUAGAGUGCGGAAGGGGCUACUGGAAUUCUCGGUGUAGCGGUGAAAUGCGCAGAUAUCAGGAAGAACACCUAUGGCGAAGGCAGCACUCUGGGACGGUACUGACGCUGAGACGCGAAAGCGUGGGGAGCGAACAGG
rnacentral:rRNA from 1 species